GGAUGCGAUCAUACUAGCACUAAAGUCCUGAUCCCAUCAGAACUCCGAAGUUAAGCGUGCUUGGGCGAUUGUAGUACUAGGAUGGGUGACCUCCUGGGAAGUCCUCGUGUUGCAUUCC
rnacentral:rRNA from 1 species